UUGAAAUUGGAAAAUUAGUUUUAAGUUUAUGCUUUUAAAUGUUUUUAUCUAAACUAAAAUCUCUGUUUUCUAAUUAACUGUCAAAGAGAAGCACCAUGCAACUAGGUUGUUUUGUGUGUGUGUGUGUGUGUGUGUGUGUGUGUGUGUGAAAGUGGGACCUGGCACAGCUUUCAUUGUAUAGCUAUGCUAGCCUGUGCUAACAGACGCUGCUCUUUGAAUAGGGAAUAGUUUAAAAAGUUUAUUGUACUCUGCUUAGCCUUGGAGCCCAAUUCAUGAAAAUGUGAAUUUUCAUUUCUAAAGCCCUGAAAAGAGUUUUGUGCAAAAAAAACCCAAAAAAAAAACAAAAAAAGCAAAAACUUUUUCUGUCAGCGGAUCUAUACAAAGAGUAACAACCAGCAGUUUUCCUUACUGUUUUUCUACUAUACUAUGAUUCUUGAGACCCAGUAACUUACAGCCCAAAUGUCUUCCUUACAGUCUAUGAUCUGGGUAGACUGUAUCUAGGGAGGGCUUUCUUGGUGUUUCAUCCUGUGGUAUUAGGAGUCAGAAGGACAAGACAGAAGAGGCACAGGGGGCUGAACUCACCCUUUUGUGGGGAAUCAACUUCCCAUAACAAGUUACCCAUUGUCAUGAGAGCAGAACCCUUAAGGUAUAGUCACCCCUCAGGAGCCACACCCCUCAAUAUUGCUGCCCUGGGAUUGGAUUCUGAGCACGGAGCUUUAGGGGACCUUUUCAAACCACAGUAUUAACUAGACCACAAACUCUAAUUUAAAAUCAGAAAUGUUAAUUUAGGAUCCUGGUUAUAUUUCCAGAAAUAAAGUGAUGAAAAUAUUAUUUUUGAGAACUUAUAUCAGACCAAGAAAAAUAAAAGGAAUAUAAGGUUUAUUUAUGCCAAUAAAAAUGAAUUGUGUCAUUGUGCCUACUAGUAGGUUACAAUUGAGUCUGGGAGCCUGUUCACAAAGUCAUAAAAAUAGCUAUAUUAUUUUAUCCACAACCUCUGGCUUUGAAAAGUGUAAAAAGAUCAUCUAUUCAAAAAUUACCUUUUACCAAGAAUCUUCCUCUAAUAAACUGAGACCUUGAAACAUUCCUACUCUUUUGUGCUUUCUUUUUCCUCCAAGUCUUGGUUUUAGUUUCACUUUGGUCUUUAGAAGACAUCUAGUUAUCCUAAAGUGUCCUUUCAUGAACGCAUGGGGGGCAUCAAGGAAGUCAGUGGUUUUGUCACAUCAUUCUGGAAGAAUAUAUAUUGUAUUAUACUCUAUUUUAUUAUACUGCUAAUACUCCAAAUAAUCACAGGACAUUUAUGCUGCCGUGGUCCUGAUAGACUCACCACAGCACUGACUGGGGUGAUGAAAGGCUCUUGUGCUGGGAGAGAGUUUUCAGUCAUCACCACGGCCUGACAUGCCCCACACAUCCAGGGAGAGGCCGUGACACCAGAUACUGAUCUGUGUUUAAUUAGUAGUUCCAAGAGUCUGGCAGCGUCUUGAGAUACAUUAUCAUUUAGUAGGUUAUUUGCGUUUAGCGUCGUUCAUAUUUUAGUGACUGGUAUAAUUUGUUGCGUAUGUGUUAAAGAGAGUGAAGUCCGGUCCUCCUUGGCACUGGCUGGAAGUCAUUUAUAGGAGUAAGGUUUGCUUGUUUCGUACAUUCAUCUCUGGAGAAAUGUAACUUGACCUGGUGCAGGAGGGCUUGGGUCUCGAGGUCAGAAUCCCGGGCUUCAUGUUAUUGGAGGAGAGAAAUAAAUACCCCUUUGAACACAUUAUCCAGUGCCGUCCACCAUUUAAGUGAGGUUCAUAGGAGCCUUGCAUAGGGCUUUCGAAUGUCUGUGUCUCCCCAGGGAGGCAAGCAAACUCAGGCUCCAAAGGAAGGCUUUUCCUUGACCUCGUCUUCAUCCCUUUAUUAUUAUUUUUUAAUCCAGGACUUUGAAUAGUGCUAACUUUUUGUUUUUACAUUUCCAAACAUCUUUCAGGUCACUAAGCAGCCAAGCACCAGGCAUCCUCAACAAUCCAUUUCCAUCUGAAGGUUUGCUCAGUUUCAGGAGGUCUGAGGAGUCAAGAAGCACCCAGUGAUGUGACAGGACAGGCGUUUUACCCGAGGCCUGACUGUUCUGUCCCGUUCCUGCUGCUUCGGGUAGAGAAGCCUUGAGUGCUGUUGCUUCAGGCAGCAAUUCCCAGGGGUCUCUGCUUUAUGUGGAAUUUGCAGCACGGUACAUUAACGUUUACAACUUUGUACAACCCUUUUUAUAAAGAGAACGUGUAAUCCUUUGAGACGUCAGUGGGCUCGCAAGGACAAUCAGACCAGCUCAGCCAGUCAGCCGCUGUCAGUCGCUACGCAGGUGGAGACCUGUGGUUAGGAUGAAAUCUGGCUGAGGCACCAUGGAGAAGCCAGAGAGGACAGAAGUUCUUUCUGCAGUUUGAAUCUGGAAUCCAAGCUCCAAAUGAAAGAAACCUUGAUGAUGUGAGCGCCGUGUUUUACAUCUCAUCUCCAGACAUCUUCCACUUAGAGGCGAUCCUGUGACAUCUCUCCACGGUGUUCACCGAAUGAAGAUGUUCAUCAUCUGAGCUGAGAAAGAAAAGAUUACUGCAAUUUUGCCUCUAACCAGAGCACAAAGGAAAAUGUGUCCACUCUGUUUAAGAUCAGGGCUACAGAAUGACUCCUUUUGUUGGAAAACCUGGCAAAAAUUAACUGGUCAGUGCUAGAUGGAACUAGCCAAUAUUACUUCUUCUGAGAUGAAGUUCUUUGUUGUUGAAGUUUCAGUACUUGGUGGCAGAAAAUACAGUCAAAAUAUGAGGAAUUCUACCCAAGUGCUUACUGCAUGGGUGUUUGUGUAGGGUGUUAUAUUUUACCCCAGCGAUCCCCAGUAGUGACACUCAAAAACACAGGCGAGCGUAUAGCCUUGACUUUCAGAUAGGCUUGUCUAUGAAGCCACGGUGAGAAUAUGUUUUCUCUCGUGUUAAAAGCAAGGCAUGUCCAAGACCCCACAUGCCUAUGGCUGCAGAGCCUAGAACUUCCUUACCUCUCAACAUUAAUGAGUGAGUUCAAGACUUCUCACUGGAGUGGGGCAAAAGGGAAACUCUUCGGGUCCAUUUCAUUAUGGUGCUCAGUUCACACAAGCUUUAAUGCUCCGGUUUCUCCUGCUGUUCUCACUCAGCAGUGGUUGUCUGGAGAGCAGGAGCUGAUAAGUCUGCACCACUUGAUUCAACCAUGAACACACCUCUCCUGAACUGCUGAGCCCAGCGUUAGAGUUCUCGGCAGAGUUUGGCAAAUGAAUAGACCAUCUUUCAUGCCUUGUUCUGUUUAUCCUUUGCUUUCCUUGUCUUUUUUUAACAUUGUGGGGGCGGGGGAGGUCUCGCACCACCCAGGCUGACCUUGAACUUGCUGUGUAGUUGGAUAACAGUGAACUUCUGCUCCCCCUGCCUUUUGGUCUUGAGUGUGUUCUGAGCUUACACACCUGCAUCACCACAUCUGGAUUAAUUUGCUUUUUCCAAGGUCUACCUCCAGUUCAUGUCUGUGGCUGGAUCGACCAUGAGUAUGUUCUUAAAAUCUCUUCUUUCUGAGAGCCCAGUUUUAGUUUGAGAGAGGACCUUGGCUCGCUACUUACAGGAUGGGGCUAUAUCCAUGCCUUCCAGAUGCCAAUGACUUUUCUGGAGGGAGGCCUCUGCCAGGCUUCUCCAAGCACAUCCCAUCUAUAUUAUUUUAUAUCUACUGUUUUAAUGUCUAGAUACUAAAGGGAAUUGGGUCUCAUCAUUUAUUCUUUUAGAAAGCACAUUAAGUCCUCUGUGAACUUGUCCAGGAAGGGCUGGAGCCUGGCCUUGCUUAUCAAGCACACCUCAGAGCCAGGCCUUUCCACACUCAAUGGUACGCACAGACUCCAUCCUCCGCUCUCCGUGUAGGUACUGGCCUUGCAGUAAUCUUUUUUAUUUGCAAAGUGAAGUAAACAGCCCUGGCUUCAUAACCCUCACACACAAACCUGUUGGUUUCAGGUUGGUGAUCUCAUGAAAUUGACUUAGCUGUUCUGUAACCGAACUUCCUUAUCAAUAAUGUAGGGCUGGCAGUAAUCAGUGUUUGCUUAUGGAACUAAGAGAUGAAUGCAUAGAUUCAUAUUUAGCAUUGAUCCUCCCCAGCUAUUCUGAGCCAUUACUCCUGUGAUUCUGAUUAUUAAGAAAAUAUUCUAGAAGUUGUUCCUUCUAAUAUAAUGGAGAAAUGUCACCAAUGAGUAUUUUUUUAAAAUACUAUCAAAUUUUGAAUAUCAUUUUUCUGUUAUAUAAAAAUGCCUUAAUCUACUGCUAGUCUUUGAUUUUUCCUGAAUCUGUUCAUCUAUAAUUUUUUAUGUUUUCUAAAUUACACGUUAAUAUAGAACUGGUUUUCUGCAAGUGUAUCAUGAAACUUCUCUCCUUGUCUCUAUUUAUUUGCCCCAGACGCUUUCAUAUUGAUCAUCUUUCCUGUAGGGAGCUGUAUUUGUAUUUGACCAAUUGCCUCAUAGAAGGUGUCUUUGAUAUGAUGUCAUAAAACUCUUAGAUUGUUCUCUUGAAAGGAACAUUAACGCAGUAAUUGAAAAAAAUUUAAAUAUGUUACUAACUUUAAGUAUGUUACAUAGUGAGAAUAUGUAUUCUC